CAUAGUCGUUCCUUGGUGUUGGCUGAGUUUACCCUCAUGUGAUGGUUUAGCGUGAAGUGAACUCUAAAGUGUUAACCUCAGGAGUUAUCCAUCCGCGCCUCUCAUACUGAGGUAAGAAUAUAAUAGGGUACCGUGCCCCUCUAAUAGGCUGGUCCACGGAACCCGUCCACUGCAGCAACCAAUUAUAACCCACAAAUUCAAUCAAAUUCAAC
rnacentral:lncRNA from 1 species